GGCGCCAUGGCUUAGUGGUAAUAAAGCGCCUGUCUAGUAAACAGGAGAUCCUGGGUUCGAUCCCCAGUGGUGCCU
rfam:Ciona intestinalis ciona0008, whole genome shotgun sequence.